CCUGGUUGAUCCUGCCAGUAGUCAUAUGCUUGUCUCAAAGAUUAAGCCAUGCAAGUCUAAGUACGAGCUCUCGUACAGUGAAACUGCGAAUGGCUCAUUAAAUCAGUUAUGGUUCAUUUGAUCGUACAGUUUACUUGGAUAACUGUGGUAAUUCUAGAGCUAAUACAUGCGAGAAGCGCCGACCUCGCGGGAGGCGUGCAUUUAUCAGACCAAAAACCGGCCGCGUCUUCGGGCGCGUUCGCCUUGGUGACUCUGGAUAACUUUGCGGAUCGCACGGUCUAGCACCGGCGACGGAUCAUUCAAGUGUCUGCCCUAUCAACUUUCGUCGGUACGGUAUUUGCCUACCGAGGUUCUUACGGGUGACGGGGAAUCAGGGUUCGAUUCCGGAGAGGGAGCCUGAGAAACGGCUACCACAUCCAAGGAAGGCAGCAGGCGCGCAAAUUACCCAUUCCCGACGCGGGGAGGUAGUGACGAAAAAUAACAAUGCAGGACUCGUUCGAGGCCCUGUAAUUGGAAUGAGUACACUUUAAAAGCUUUAACGAGUAUCCAUUGGAGGGCAAGUCUGAUUCCAGCAGCCGCGGUAAUUCCAGCUCCAAAAGUAUAUAUUUAAGUUGUUGCGGUUAAAAAGCUCGUAGUUGGAUUUUGGGCGCAGGCGGCCGGUCCGUCGCAAGGCGUGUACUGGACGUCCUGGCCUUCCCUCCGGUUCUCCGCCGGUGCUCUUGACUGAGUGUCGGCGGCGGCCGGAACGUUUACUUUGAAAAAAUUAGAGUGUUCAAAGCAGGCUCUCGAGCCUGGAUAAUGGUGCAUGGAAUAAUGGAAUAGGACCUCGGUUCUAUUUUGUUGGUUUUCGGAGCGCGAGGUAAUGAUUAAGAGGGACAGACGGGGGCAUUCGUACUGUGCCGUUAGAGGUGAAAUUCUUGGAUCGGCGCAAGACGAACGACUGCGAAAGCAUUUGCCAAGAAUGUUUUCUUUAAUCAAGAGCGAAAGUCAGAGGUUCGAAGACGAUCAGAUACCGUCCUAGUUCUGACUAUAAACGAUGCCAACUAGCGAUCGGGGGGCGUUACAUUGACGACCCCUCCGGCAGCUUACGGGAAACCAAAGUCUUUGGGUUCCGGGGGAAGUAUGGUUGCAAAGCUGAAACUUAAAGGAAUUGACGGAAGGGCACCACCAGGAGUGGAGCCUGCGGCUUAAUUUGACUCAACACGGGAAAUCUCACCCGGCCCGGACACAGUGAGGAUUGACAGAUUGAGAGCUCUUUCUUGAUUCUG
rnacentral:rRNA from 1 species